rnacentral:lncRNA from 10 species
ACACAUCCGCCUGUCCGUCGUCCGUCCGUCAGUCUGCCCUGCCCGCCUCUGGCUGGGCUCAGUCCUUCCAGUCCUUCUUGAUGGUGAGAUUCCACUCCCAGGACAGGUGGUCGGUCUUGUCGUCGUCUGUGAAGCGGGACUUGAUGCUGUAGCUGCCCCGGGCCAGCAUACCCUUGGGUGCCUCCUCCACGGGGGUCAGGAACUCGUACUCCUCGGCCCGGGGCCCAUAGCUGCCUACCAUGUAGUCAGUCUU